rnacentral:rRNA from 1 species
UUAUUAAAAGUUUUAUAUAAAAAUUUUCCCGAAUUUAGAAGAGUUAAGAAAUAAUAAAUUUUAUUGUAAAAUAAAUAUUUAUGAUUAUUUUUUGGUAAUGAAACGUUAUUCGUUUCUAAUUAUAUCUGGUUUUCUAAGAAAUUAAUUUAAUUAAUUGUUCAGUUGAUAAAUUUAAUAUUUAGUUAUUAGGUUUUUGAAGAACAAAAAUUCUUUAAGGGAUAAGCUUUAAUGAAUAUUAAUAUAAAAUAAAUAGUUUUACAAAUUUUAUAUGAUUAUAAGUUUUUAUUAUUAUGAGUGUGUUAUAACUAAAUUUGUAUUGAUUUUAUUUAUAUUAUUUUUAUAUAUUUUAUUAGAAUUUUAAAUUUAAUGAUUUAUUUUAUGCAAUAAUGAUUAAAUUAGUAUAUAUAAUUGUAUAACUAGAAAGGAGUUUGAGAUGAUAUAAAGGAAUUCGGCAAAUAAAUUUUCGCCUGUUUAUUAAAAACAUGUCUUUUUGAUAAUGAUUUAAGGUUUAACCUGCCCACUGAGUUUUAAAUGGCCGCGGUAAUUUGACCGUGCGAAGGUAGCAUAAUAAUUAGUUUUUUGAUUGGGAACUGGAAUGAAUGGUUGGACGAGAAAUUUACUGUCUCUAUAUUAUUAUUAGAAUUUUAUAUUUAAGUAAAAAAGCUUAAAUAAAUUUAAAAGACGAGAAGACCCUAUAGAGUUUGAUAUUUAAUUAAUUUUUAAUAUGUGGAAUUACAAAUUUUAUUUUGAGAUGAUAUUUUGUUGGGGUGAUAGAAAAAUUUAGUUAACUUUUUUUGUUUAUAAUCAUUAAUUUAUGAAUAAUUGAUCCGUUUUUUGCGAUUAUAAGAUUAAAUUACCUUAGGGAUAACAGCGUAAUCUUUUUUGAGAGUUCAUAUCGAAAAAAUGGAUUGCGACCUCGAUGUUGGAUUAAAAUUAAUUGUUGGUGUAGAGGCUUAAAUAAUUAGGUCUGUUCGACCUUUAAAAUUUU